rnacentral:rRNA from 1 species
UACGAGUGCCCCAAGCGUUAUCCGGAAUCAUUGGGCGUAAAGGGUGCGUAGGCGGGUCUUUUAAGUCAGGGGUGAAAUCCUGGAGCUCAACUCCAGAACUGCCUUUGAUACUGAAGAUCUUGAGUUCGGGAGAGGUGAGUGGAACUGCGAGUGUAGAGGUGAAAUUCGUAGAUAUUCGCAAGAACACCAGUGGCGAAGGCGGCUCACUGGCCCGAUACUGACGCUGAGGCACGAAAGCGUGGGGAGCAAACAGG